CGUUGUUAACCCGUAGAUCCGAACUUGUGUUAAGAUUUCUGCAACGCUGGUUCGAAUCAUGGGUAGACGACGG
rnacentral:pre_miRNA from 16 species